rnacentral:rRNA from 1 species
AGCGAACGCUGGCGGCAGGCCUAACACAUGCAAGUCGAACGAACCUUUCGGGGUUAGUGGCGGACGGGUGAGUAACACGUGGGAACGUGCCCUUAGGUUCGGAAUAACUCAGGGAAACUGGUGCUAAUACCGAAUGUGCCCUUCGGGGGAAAGAUUAAUCGCCUUUAGAGCGGCCCGCGUCUGAUUAGCUAGUUGGUUGAGGUAAUGGCUCACCAAGGCGACGAUCAGUAGCUGGUCUGAGAGGAUGAUCAGCCACAUUGGGACUGAGACACGGCCCAAACUCCUACGGGAGGCAGCAGUGGGGAAUCUUGCGCAAUGGGCGAAAGCCUGACGCAGCCAUGCCGCGUGAAUGAUGAAGGUCUUAGGAUUGUAAAAUUCUUUCACCGGGGACGAUAAUGACGGUACCCGGAGAAGAAGCCCCGGCUAACUUCGUG